rnacentral:rRNA from 1 species
GAUGAACGCUGGCGGCGUGCCUAAUACAUGCAAGUCGAGCGAACAGACCAGGAGCUUGCUCCUCUGACGUUAGCGGCGGACGGGUGAGUAACACGUGGAUAACAUACCUAUAAGACUGGGAUAACUUUGGGAAAUCGUAGCUAAUACCGGAUAAUAUAUUGAACCGCAUGGUUCAAGAGUGAAAGUCGGUUUUGCUGUCACUUAUAGACGGAUCAGCGCCGCAUUAGUUAGUUGGUAAGGUAACGGCUUAACCAGGCAACGACGGGUAGCCGACCCGAGGGCGAGGUCCCACACCUGGGAUCUGAGACACGGUCCAGACUCCUACGCGAGGCAGCAGUAGAGAAUCUUCCGCGAGGGGCGAGUGCUUGACGGAGCAACGCCGCGGGAGUGAUGAAGGACUUCGGAUCGUAAAGCGCUGUUAUUAGGGAAGAAGAAAUGUGUAAGUAACUAUGCACGUCUUGACGGUACCGAAUCAGAAAGCCACGGCUAACUACGUG